CCUGAUGCUAUUCUCAAGCUUCUUCAGAUCAUCUCGUGCACCACUCCAGGAAGCAGCCUCUUUAAAGGAUGAUGUCGCCAAGAGUUCCAAGGCUUUUGCAGCUAAUUCCACAAGAACUCCUUCUGCCAUUACAAUUUACCAAUUCAAGGAGCUUUUGAUAAUGGUUGACACUUGCCAAGCUGCCACUCUUUGUAAUCAGGCGUAAAGACCUUUCAUUUCCUAUUAUACAUUCGGAUUGGAGAAAUUGCAAAAUUUGGAUCAGAAGCUAGUCUUAUUGUAGACAUUCAAGAUGGGAGAUUAUGAGAAAUGUAGAGAAAAGAGGAUAGCAGAAAAUAAAUUGAAAAUGCAAGAAUUGGGAAUUGAAUCUACGGCAUAUAAUAUCCAAUCAAAGAAGGGAACAAAACGCAAAUGCAAGAGUAAGGAGCAUGAUAAUGGUACUGGGAAUGAUGAAAUAGAGCGUGAUCUUAGUGAUGAUGAUGAUGUCGAGUAUGAUCCGGAGAUGGAGGAGGAUAAAGGUGAGAAACAAACCGAUAAUGCAAAUCCUAUACAAGAGGAGGAUGAGAUGGUGUCAGCUCCUCAAACUCAAGGCGACUUACAAGUCCGUACCACAACAAGUGAAAUUGUUAGUCACGUUCCAAAAAAGAGAAAAGGACGAGGUCCGACAAAAGGAAUUGUGAGUAACAUGAAGGAUCCCAUGCACCUUGAAUACAAUCAGUUUGGUCAACCGUGUGGUAAGUGGCGUAUGAAGUAUGGGACACAAGUUGGCAUUUGCAUGCGCAAAAUCUCCAUUUUGGCUAAAUGGAGUGAGGUGUCUCCAGGUUUGAAGAAGGCGUUGUGGGAAGAUAUAGUGAAGGAAGUGUUUCUUUCGGCUGUUGCGGAAAGAUUCAGAGACUUCAAAACAAAGUUAGUAAGUGGAUGGAUCACGUUAAGAAGAAAAAAAACUACAUCUAAGAAGUUGACAAAAGGAAAGGAACAGGAGAAUGAGGGAGGAGAGGAAGCGGGAAAUGAGGCGGGAAGGAAAAAUGAAAAGGCUUCUGAAAAGACGGAAGUACGGACAUUGUUGCCUUAUCAUAUAUGGGAUCACAUCACAAAAGAGGAUUGGGAAGCAUUUGUUGCCCAAAAAACUACUCCGAAAGAAGUUGAAAGGCGUGCUAAAGCUUACAAAAGUUCAAGGCAGAAGAAGUUUUAUCAUCAUAUGGGUCCUAAAACUUAUGAAGAGAAAAGAAAGGAGUGGAUGCAAGAAAAAGAUUUUUACCCAAGCAUGACCUCGUCAUCAGGGGCGACUUAUGGCUCUACACUUACGACAAAGAACAUUGAUCGAGUUGCUGAUUGGUAUUGUUCACUUCAUAGUCGAGAUGCAAGUGGGAGAAGAACCAUUUCUGAUCCGGGAACAAAGAAGAUAGCCGAAGCAGUGCUUGGGUGGAGGAACAAAGAGGUUCCAGGCGAGUUUGUUCCGCAAGCGAACAAGGAUGCCUUAUAUAUGGUACUCGGUAAGGACCAUGAUGGACGUGUGAAAGGCAAAGGAGGGAGGCUUGAGAAAACUUUAUGGUGCAGAGUACUCUGUAACAAGAUCAAGCUCAGUGUCUAAUGCAUCACAAGAUAUGGAGAGCAAAAUGAAAUCUGCAAUAGAGGAGCUUGAGAAAAGGAUGAAGAAUCAAUUCAGCGCCAUCUUGGAGCACAUGGGAUUACCCAGUCUUGACGAGCUCGAGCUCAAUGUCACUCCUGGGGACAAAUUAAGCCAGCAAGAUCCCGUGACACCUAGAGAGGUACUUGGUUCGAUACCUAAACCUCUGCUAAUUGACCCCCCAGUGCCUGAUAUAUAGGUAAAUGAAGAAUUACUUUUUUAGUUGCUUUUCCAACAAACUAUAUGAUAUAUAUUGUUAAUGGUUGACUUAGCCAAUUAUGUUUUAAACCGGAGGAGACCCCUUGCAAUCUUUUACUUCCCAAAUCAGCAGAUGGUGAGUUGGUUGUGGUCGCUUAUGGUCGGGCACAACCACCGAGAGAGGGCCAGACAUCACAUUUGCUGCCGGUAGCAGGUUCUUAUUUUAGUGUGUCUAUAAACACCAUUAUAUGUGGAUUUGAAGAUUUCUCAUUGCCGGUCCCUAGACCAGAGUGGAGCCUCACUGUUCUGAACGACGCGCAAGGUAGUUUUGUGAUAUGGCCAUGUGCUUGGGUGCGAUUUUCAGAUAAGGCUUUGAAGAAAAAAACAGAAUCGGCCAAAAAAGUGAAGAAUUUGGAUGCGGACAAAGAGAGUUCGCAAGACAACCGAUCAGAAGAGAAUGAGGUGGACUCAAAAGCUAAUAAUAACAAGGAGGAUUCACAACCUAAGAGUGUAAUUGUAGGUAAGAUUUCACUUAAGGGCUCAUCUCCUGAUGUGAAUCCAAAAGGAACUCCACUUGUGUGAGAAAAGUGCUCCAGUCUCUUAGCAAGUCAUGUUCUUGGCUACAUGCUCGUGUUACCAACUUGCCUGAUUCCUUACCAAUAAAGGUUGAUUUGGAGAAAUCUCAAUUCCACUACUUAGAUGACGAAUCAGCUACUUGGGUAUAUAAAGUAGAUAUUCGUGAGUUCCUCUCCGGCGCGAUGUUAAAUGUAUCUAUAUUACAAGUCUUCAUGAGUGCACUUUACGAAGAUUUACUUGGAUGUGAUUCUGCUUCAAAAGUCGGGUGGUUAUGUCCAUAAGAGAUUCGUGGUGAAAUUGCUUGAAGAACCAUGCUGAAGCGAAUGAGUACGUUGAAAGGAGUAUUACCGCAUGUGUUCGAUCUAAAGAUAACUAUAUUAUUGCCCCAUACCUUGAAGAUCUCCAUUGGAUGCUCUUGGUAAUAUCUCCUUCAACUCACACAAUAUACCAUUUUGAUUCUAUGCGUCAAGAACCACCCCGAGGCUUACUAAUCAAAAGCAUAUUGAAUAGUGUGAUGAAAAGAUUACGUGGAUGUGGUCCAAGAAGAGCCACACUUCCUCAAUGGAAAUCAGUGAAGUGCGCACAACAACAAGACGGAGUUGCUUGCGGCUAUUACGUGAUGAGGUUUAUGUUCGAUAUACUUACUUGUUGCACGGAAGUCGAUGAUCUUGAGAAGGUUCGUAACAUUCCGUACCCAUAUAAACUAUGACUUAGUUUCAUCCUAAUUAGUCCUUAAACAACUUAUUAGACUAGAAUGUAUUACAUACUAUGGUAUGAAAUAGAUGAAUUUGACCUAAAACCACCUUUACUUACACAAACUUGACUAGAACAAUCAAAUUAGAGUUGUAAUCGUCCUAAUACUACUUAAACAACAUAUUAGAUAAAAUGUAACCUAAAAUUACUUGCAAUGGUAUGAAAUGGAUGAA